rnacentral:rRNA from 1 species
ACGCUCGACACCUACGGGAAGCAGCAGUAGGGAAUCUUCCACAAUGGGCGCAAGCCUGAUGGAGCAACACCGCGUGAGUGAAGAAGGGUUUCGGCUCGUAAAGCUCUGUUGUUGGAGAAGAACGUGCGUGAGAGUAACUGUUCACGCAGUGACGGUAUCCAACCAGAAAGUCACGGCUAACUACGUGCCAUCAGCCGCGGUAAUCUGAGCGGGCUGGCAAGGC